GUACGAAGGGGGCAAGCGUUGUUCGGAAUAACUGGGCGUAAAGCGCACGUAGGCGGAAUGUUAAGUUAGAGGUGAAAUCCCAGGGCUCAACCCUGGAACGGCCUUUAAUACUGGCAAUCUAGAGACCGAGAGAGGUGAGUGGAAUUCCGAGUGUAGAGGUGAAAUUCGUAGAUAUUCGGAGGAACACCAGUGGCGAAGGCGGCUCACUGGCUCGAUACUGACGCUGAGGUACGAAAGCGUGGGGAGCAAACAGGAUUAGAAACCCUAGUAGUCC
rnacentral:rRNA from 1 species